AGGCCAGCGCCCCAGAUCCGCCGCCUUUUCCAGACGCCGAGCACCACCUCCACCUCCACCGCAUCGCACAGCGCGACCUUGUCUCUGACCGCUGCGUUCCACCACCACCGUUCAUGAACGUCGCCGACCACCGAGCCCUACACCUUCAAUUCACCGCCAACUCUGCAAAAUCCCCAAAUCCAGAACCAAAACGAUUCUCGGUCAACGAUUUUAGGAGGUUUUGUUUGUUUGCUUGUUUGGGGUUCUAAAAUCGCUGCUCUGCAAUUUCUAAAAUCGAGUGGUUGGGAGGUCGAUGAAGGAGGAGGGUUUGCAGAGUGCGAGGCGGCGAAAAGUCGCGGGGGAA
rnacentral:lncRNA from 1 species